CUCCUCCUCAGGCCAGCUCACAGCUCCGUUGCCCGAGGGGAGGAGGUGGCGGGCUCCUAUUUUGCAUGCCGGUGGGGGUUUCUCCGUUAGCCAUCUGGUGGUCUUGUCUUUUCAGCCCUCAGGCGGGAGAUUAUGGCCAUCUUGGGCCAGCUAACCCCUCCCUGGCCCAAUACUAUUCAACUGGGCCCUACAGUAUUGGGCCCGGUCUGUAUUGGGCCCGGACAUUACAUCCUCCCCCCCUAAAUAAAUUUCGUCCUCGAAAUUAAGCAUACCUUGGUUCUCGAAGAGCUGAGGGUAGCAUUGUCGCAUCUCCUCCUCCAAUUCCCAGGUAGCUUCCCUUUCAG
rnacentral:lncRNA from 1 species